rnacentral:rRNA from 1 species
AUUGAACGCUGGCGGCAGGCCUAACACAUGCAAGUCGAGCGGAUGAAGGGAGCUUGCUCCUGGAUUCAGCGGCGGACGGGUGUGUAAUGCCUAUGAAUCUGCCUGGUAUUGGUUGAUAACGUCCGGAAACGGGCGCUAAUACCGCAUACGUCCUGAGGGAGAAAUUUGGUGAUCUUCGGACCUCACGCUAUCAUAUGAGCCUAGGUCGGAUUAGCUAGUUGGUUGGGUAAAGGCCUACCAAGGCGACGAUCCGUAACUGGUCUGAGAGGAUGAUCAGUCACACGGGAACUGAGACACGGUCCAGACUCCUACGGGAGGCAGCAGUGGGGAAUAUUGGACAAUGGGCGAAAGCAUGAUCCAGCAAUGCCGCGUGUGUGAAGAAGGUCUUAGGAUUGUAAAGCACUUUAAGUUGGGAGGAAGGGAAGUAAGUUAAUACCUUGCUGUUUUGACGUUACCAACAGAAUAAGCACCGGCUAACUUCGUG